rnacentral:lncRNA from 1 species
UACCUUGACCUUUGACCUAGGAAGUUGUACAUACAUCAUGACACGCCCUCUGGUGGUGGUUAAAAUGGAUGUCAAGUAUAAACUUUGAAAUCAUAACGGUUAUCUAGAUAUGGAGCGGACACGAUCUUCACCACAGGACACGGGGUUGUCAAUUGAAACCAAAGUUUUUGACCUUGACCUUUGACCUAGGAAGUUGUACAUACAUUAUGACACACCCUCUGGUGUUGGUUAAUAAACAUGUUAAGUAUUAAGUAUAAAAUCAUAACGGUUAUCUAGAUAUGGAGCGAACAUGAUCUUCACCACAGGACACGGGGUUGUCAACUGAAACCAAAGUUUUUGACCUUGACCUUUGACCUAGGAAGUUGUACAUACAUCAUGACACACCCUCUGGUGUUGGUUAAAAUGGAUGUCAAGUAUAAACUUUGAAAUCAUAACGGUUCUCAAGAUAUAGAGCGGACACAAUCUUCACCACAGGACACAUGGUUGUCAACUGAAACCAAAGUUUUUUUACCUUGACCUUUGACCUAGGAAGUUGUACAUACAUCAUGACACGCCCUCUGGUGGUGGUUAAUAAACAUG